rnacentral:rRNA from 1 species
UACAGAGGUGGCAAGCGUUGUUCGGAAUUACUGGGCGUAAAGGGCGCGUAGGCGGCCUCCUAAGUCAGACGUGAAAUCCCCCGGCUUAACCUGGGAACUGCGUCUGAUACUGGGAGGCUUGAGUAUGGGAGAGGGAUGUAGAAUUCCAGGUGUAGCGGUGAAAUGCGUAGAUAUCUGGAGGAAUACCGGUGGCGAAGGCGGCAUCCUGGACCAUAACUGACGCUGAGGAGCGAAAGCCAGGGGAGCAAACGGG